rnacentral:rRNA from 1 species
GAGUUUGAUCGUGGCUCAGAUUGAACGCUGGCGGCAUGCCUUACACAUGCAAGUCGAACGGCAGCACGGGAGCUUGCUCCUGGUGGCGAGUGGCGAACGGGUGAGUAAUGCAUCGGAACGUAUCCUGGAGUGGGGGAUAACGUAGCGAAAGUUACGCUAAUACCGCAUAUUCUGUGAGCAGGAAAGCGGGGGACCUUCGGGCCUCGCGCUCUUGGAGCGGCCGAUGUCGGAUUAGCUAGUUGGUGAGGUAAAGGCUCACCAAGGCGACGAUCCGUAGCAGGUCUGAGAGGAUGAUCUGCCACACUGGAACUGAGACACGGUCCAGACUCCUACGGGAGGCAGCAGUGGGGAAUUUUGGACAAUGGGGGCAACCCUGAUCCAGCCAUGCCGCGUGAGUGAAGAAGGCCUCGGUUCGUAAGUACGUCUUUCG